GUUAGGAAUAUUGGCCAAUGGGCGCAAGCCUGAUCCAGCCAUGCCGCGUGAGUGAUGAAGGCCUUCGGGUUGUAAAGCUCUUUAGCCGAUGAUUAUAAUGACUGUAGUCGGAAAAUAAGCCCCGGCUAACUUCGUGCCAGCAGCCGCGGUAAUACGAAGGGGGCGAGCGUUAUUCGGAAUCACUGGGCGUAAAGCGUGCGUAGGCGGCUUUGCAAGUUGGGAGUGAAAGCCCAGGGCUCAACCCUGGAAUUGCUCUCAAAACUGAAGGGCUCGAAUUCGGGAGAGGAUAGCGGAAUUGUCAGUGUAGCAGUGAAAUGCGUAGAUAUUGACAGGAACACCAGUGGCGUAAGCGGCUAUCUGGACCGAUAUUGACGCUGAGGCACGAAAGCGUGGGGAUCAAACAGGAUUAGAAACUCUUGUAGUCC
rnacentral:rRNA from 1 species